CCUACGGGGGGUGCAGUGGGGAAUAUUGGACAAUGGGCGAAAGCCUGAUCCAGCCAUGCCGCGUGUGUGAAGAAGGCCUUCGGGUUGUAAAGCACUUUCAGUGGGGAAGAAAGCCUUGGGGCUAAUACCCUCGAGGAAGGACAUCACCCACAGAAGAAGCACCGGCUAACUCCGUGCCAGCAGCCGCGGUAAUACGGAGGGUGCGAGCGUUAAUCGGAAUUACUGGGCGUAAAGCGCGCGUAGGCGGUCUGAUAAGCCGGUUGUGAAAGCCCCGGGCUCAACCUGGGAACGGCAUCCGGAACUGUCAGGCUAGAGUGCAGGAGAGGAAGGUAGAAUUCCCGGUGUAGCGGUGAAAUGCGUAGAGAUCGGGAGGAAUACCAGUGGCGAAGGCGGCCUUCUGGACUGACACUGACGCUGAGGUGCGAAAGCGUGGGUAGCAAACAGGAUUAGAUACCCUGGUAGUC
rnacentral:rRNA from 1 species